rnacentral:tRNA from 1 species
CAUGUAGCUCAGGGGUAGAGCACACGCUUGGUAAGCGUGAGGUCGACGGUUCAAAUCCGUCCAUG